GACGAACGCUGGCGGCGUGCCUAAUACAUGCAAGUAGAACGCUGAAGGAGGAGCUUGCUCUUCUGGAUGAGUUGCGAACGGGUGAGUAACGCGUAGGUAACCUGCCUGGUAGCGGGGGAUAACUAUUGGAAACGAUAGCUAAUACCGCAUAAGAGUAGAUGUUGCAUGACAUUUACUUAAAAGGUGCAAUUGCAUCACUACCAGAUGGACCUGCGUUGUAUUAGCUAGUUGGUGGGGUAACGGCUUACCAAGGCGACGAUACAUAGCCGACCUGAGAGGGGGAUCGGCCACACUGGGAAUGGGACACGGCCCAGACUCCUACGGGAGGCAGCAGUAGGGAAUCUUCGGCAAUGGACGGAAGUCUGACCGAGCAACGCCGCGGGAGUGAAGAAGGUUUUCGGAUCGUAAAGCUCUGUUGUAAGAGAAGAACGAGUGUGAGAGUGGAAAGUUCACACUGUGACGGUAUCUUACCAGAAAGGGACGGCUAACUACGUG
rnacentral:rRNA from 1 species